CAAAGCAACUGUGCGCCAUAAAAACCCUGAAAAAGCAGAGGAUUAUUGCAUCAAACAGUUUCAACAGGUCAGUUAAAUGGUUUAGUAUAAGGGCAGAGGAUCUUGACUCUAUCCCAGUUCCUUGUGAAUAAGAUCCCAUAUUCUGGUUUUAUGUUGUGACAAUUUGAUGCUUCUCCCCACCCAGUGUCUUCAAGGAGAAGAGAAUACUCCAGAGGGUUACCAGUAUAGAACACCCAUUCCUGGUUUCCCUUUAUGGCACGUUCCAGACUGAAUAUCACCUCUUUUUUGCCAUGGAGUAUCUUCCCGGUGGCGACCUCUUUUCUCUGCUAGCGAAGCAUGGUGAAUUUGAGGAAUCCUGUGCUAUGUUUUACACUGCCUGUGUGGUACUAGGCCUUGAAGAAUUACAUCGGAACAAUAUUCUUCAUAGAGAUCUAAAACCAGAGAAUCUGAUGGUUGACCGAGACGGAUAUCUGAAAAUUGUUGAUUAUGGCCUGAGCAAAGAUAGUAAGUAAUAUUUCGACUUUUAAUAACAAAACAGAGAUAAUGCUCGCAGAUCUUCACUUUUCUUACAGAUUCUUUUUGUGUUUCAGCAUUUGGAAUUGGAGAUCACACUAGGACCAUGUGUGGAACAAGCUAUUACCUGGCCCC